GCAUAUCAAUAAGCGGAGGAAAAGAAAACCAACAGGGAUUGCCCUAGUAACGGCGAGUGAAGCGGCAACAGCUCAAAUUUGAAAUCUGGCGCAAGCCCGAGUUGUAAUUUGUAGAGGAUGUUUCUGGCGACGUGCCUUCCGAGUUCCCUGGAACGGGACGCCAUAGAGGGUGAGAGCCCCGUACGGUUGGAUGCCUAGCCUCUGUGAAACUCCUUCGACGAGUCGAGUAGUUUGGGAAUGCUGCUCUAAAUGGGAGGUAUACGUCUUCUAAAGCUAAAUACCGGCCAGAGACCGAUAGCGCACAAGUAGAGUGAUCGAAAGAUGAAAAGCACUUUGAAAAGAGGGUUAAAAAGUACGUGAAAUUGUUGAAAGGGAAGCGUUUAUGACCAGACUUGGGCAGGUUGAUCAUCCGUGGUUCUCCGCGGUGCACUCUGCCUGCCCAGGCCAGCAUCAGUUCGCCCCGGGGGAUAAAGGUUUCGGGAAUGUGGCUCCUCCGGGAGUGUUAUAGCCCGUUGCGUAAUACCCUGGGGCGGACUGAGGUUCGCGCACUGCAAGGAUGCUGGCGUAAUGGUCAUCAACGACCCGUCUUGAAACACGGACCAAGGAGUCGUCUUCGUAUGCGAGUGUUCGGGUGUCAAACCCCUACGCGUAAUGAAAGUGAACGUAGGAGAGAGCUUCGGCGCAUCUCCGACCGAUCCUGAUGUUCUCGGAUGGAUUUGAGUAAGAGCAUACGGGGCCGGACCCGAAAGAAGGUGAACUAUGCCUGUAUAGGGUGAAGCCAGAGGAAACUCUGGUGGAGGCUCGCAGCGGUUACUGACGUGCAAAUCGAUCGUCAAAUAUGGGCAUGGGGGGCGAAAGACUAAUCGAACCUUCUAGUAGCUGGUUUCUGCCGA
rnacentral:rRNA from 1 species